UCCGCCCUGACCUUAACCCCAGAGGAAGGAAGGAAUGGUGGCCGGGAAGAACGCCCCGCCUACCUGGGCAGCCCCGCCCUUCCGUUUUCUUUCCGUUUCAUUCUGUUGCAAAGGAGGAAAGGCCGACCAGGUGGAUGGGGCUGCAGGCACAGACGGACAGAUAUUUUGCAAGUGAGACCAACGGACUUCUGGCGAGGGGCUGGGGCCUCUUUUGAGCCGUCUAGGUCCUCCUGGGUGGACGCCUCCCAACCCGAGAUAGCGCCAAGGUUAGAUCACUCAGGCGCAGCCUCCAGCCCUCCCACCCACGAUGGCCCACAUGGCUUCUGCCUGGUCAUCGCCUCGUGCAGAGGCUGUAAGUCAAGCGUGGUCACAUCACCUCUCCAGCCACCAAGACCUCUCCAGGCACUUGGGACAGUUGCCCACCCCACGAGGCCCUGGAGGUCUGGCCCGGCCUGCCCAGGUCUAUCCCGCUCAUACGUGGUCUCUGCUCCGGCCUCCGGUCUCGCUGGCCCAGCUCCCGAGCUCCCCUUCAUGCAUGCUGUUCCCUCUGCCUGGAACUAUGCUGUUCCCUCUGCCCAGAACAGUCCUACCUCCGACCCCAUACCUUCUCUCCUUAGCCCGCUGAGUAGCCGCCCCACGUCUGCCUCCUCUGGGGCUCUGCACACCUGUUGUCGCGGCUCGGGUGUGUGAUCGUGUUUCUCUCGCCUCGUCCCUGUGCCCCUGGAGGACAGGUUCUGGCUCCCCUUGUCCACUGGGCGGGAGGCACACGUUCCACGGAGAGAUCCAAAGCUGGGGCCCUGCUGCCUCCCCCUUCCCUCCCGGCCCGGCCGGCCCUGGGAGGAGACGUUUGUUUCCCUGGGGAAAAGGGCCUCUCAGGACGGCAUCUGCCACUGGAGAAACCGGGAGGAAGAGGGAGUCCAGGCAGACGUGGGCUCCGGGCCUCCGGAGGGCCACGGAUGCCACCAGGCGCCCCUCGUGGAGUCAGGGACAAGGGGUUCUGGGGAAUGGCUCUCCCUGAGAGAUCGGCCGUUCAAGUGGACGUUGAAAGAGCCAUUAGCUUGAGGCACCAGGAGACGCGCAGGAAACAGGUUCUGGACGGAAAUGACAUGGUCCCGUGUGGGUGCGAGCUCAGCCCCUUGGUGGGGUCUCCUGGCGGUGCAGGGGGGAAUCUGUACCACCCUGAAUGCCCUCUGGCUGUGCAGGGGGGAGAAGGGCAGGCCUGACAGCACUCCCCCCACCCCACGACCCCCUCCAACCUGGGACCCUGCCCUGGGGGUGCCGGGCACCUGUGAGCGUUUCCAUCCUGGGGCCUGGGGCCGUGAGUUAGGACCACCGGCCAGGGUGGGGUCCCCGCGCUCCCACCUGCAACCCCCAAGUCCUUCUGCUGUGGACCCCCUGCCUGUAAGAGGUUUGCACGCCUCACUUAACAGUCGGGACCACUCCCCGAGGAGCUAGCUGCUCUAAAUGGCCAUUUAACAGAUGAGGAAAGGGAGGCCCAGAGACGCGCAACAAGAGGCUUGGGAGAAGCUUUCCUCCCUCUCCCAAUCUCUCCCCGCUCCUCCUUUACUAGACAAGAUUUUCCUGCGCAGGCGUGGGCCGGGUGUUGGGAAUACCAAGAGGGCCCUCCUGGGCCUCUCCCCGGCUGGUUACCAGCAGGGGACAAGCAGGUCAGUCCCCAGGCCAGCUCUGGGACACUGGCGGUGGCCCCUGGAGAGCUGUGCGGGAUGGGGCUGGGAGGCCGGGUCUGGCUCGGGGAAAGUGUGCUGCGAUCCAUUAGUGAUGUCUGCCGUGCACGUAGGCCUGGGGAGAAGGGGCGGGCUUUGCUGUCCACCCCUGGAGCCCAGACCCGCAGAGCCUCUAAAACCCCUCCCGACAACACCGGCUCUUCUCUCCAUCUUCAGAUGAGAAGGCAGGUUCUCUGUGAGGUCUUACGGCUCAACCAUGGCAGAGCUGGGACCUGAGCCCAGGCCCCGAGGGUCCCCGUUUUCCUCGGCCUCCUGCUACGGUGCCCUGACUGCCUCUUUGCUUCGGCUGCUAGGGAGCUCCGAGGACAGCUUGGGGCCUGCCCUCAGGUGCCCCCUCAGCCUGGGGUUUGGAGCAUUUCUCUUGCCCCCUCCUCUGGGCUCUUUAUCCUCCCUGCCGGGCCUCCCGUGGAGCGGGCCGGACAUAAGUUAUCAACUAUAAAUAAAACCAAGACUUCCGUUCUGGCCCUCA